AGUGAACGCUGGCGGUAGGCCUAACACAUGCAAGUCGAACGGCAGCACAGUAAGAGCUUGCUCUUACGGGUGGCGAGUGGCGGACGGGUGAGGAAUACAUCGGAAUCUACUUUUUCGUGGGGGAUAACGUAGGGAAACUUACGCUAAUACCGCAUACGACCUACGGGUGAAAGCAUGGGAUCUUCGGACCUUGCGCGAUUGAAUGAGCCGAUGUCGGAUUAGCUAGUUGGCGGGGUAAAGGCCCACCAAGGCGACGAUCCGUAGCUGGUCUGAGAGGAUGAUAAGCCACACUGGAACUGAGACACGGUCCAGACUCCUACGGGAGGCAGCAGUGGGGAAUAUUGGACAAUGGGCGCAAGCCUGCUCCAGCCAUACCGCGUGGGUGAAGAAGGCCUUCGGGUUGUAAAGCCCUUUUGUUGGGAAAGAAAAGCAGCAGGUUAAUACCCCGCUGUUCUGACGGUACCCAAAGAAUAAGCACCGGCUAACUUCGUG
rnacentral:rRNA from 1 species